rnacentral:rRNA from 1 species
ACGUAGGGUGCGAGCGUUAAUCGGAAUUAUUGGGCGUAAAGCGUGCGCAGGCGGCGCCAUAAGACAGCUGUGAAAUCCCCGGGCUUAACCUGGGAACUGCGGUUGUGACUGUGGUGCUAGAGUACGGCAGAGGGAGGUGGAAUUCCUGGUGUAGCAGUGAAAUGCGUAGAGAUCAGGAGGAACACCGAUGGCGAAGGCAGCCUCCUGGGCUGAUACUGACGCUCAUGCACGAAAGCGUGGGGAGCAAACAG